CCCGGGUCCCCGGAGCCGCUGACUCAGCGGAGUGGAGCCAGCCCUUGGCGCCCCCGCCCCCACCCCACUCUCCCUGGAGACCCGGAGGCUGGCACCCGGGGAGGUGGGAGGUGCGAGCGCGCCGGCCCAGCCCUUCUUUUGUUCCCUAGGACAUUCCUUUGCUCCAGCCCUCCCAACCUGGAGAGUCUGCGGUUACUGUUUCAGGUUAUGUUUCGGGAAACUGACACCAAGUAAGCAGCCCUGAAACCUGGCUCCCGCCACGUCCUAGUUGUGGGUCUUCCGUAUGGCUGGAUCCAGGAGCUCAAAUGACAUCUUCCAUUCCUCUUGCUUCACAGGUUCUCUGUGUGGGGACCUGAAACCUUGUAAUUCUUCAUAUAUGUGUCCGUCUCUACCACCGGCCCCUGAAUUCCCCAGGGUCAGGGACGUCGUUGUCCACAUCCCCAUCCUCAGGAGCCGGCGCAGGGCCUGGCUUAGAGAAAUCGGAUGAUUGCUGCCCAUUCGCCGGACUCCAAAAUAGAAGGGAUCCCACGUGAAGAGCGCUUCCUUCCGACCACAACCAAAGCAACUGUACUUUUUCUCUUUAAUAUACCAGGCUUCCAAGUAGCUUCCCUCUGAGACCAGGUUUUCUGGUUUAAAAAAGUGAGAAGAGGGGCGCCUGGGUGGCACAGCAUUUGGGCAUCUGUCUUUGGCUCAGGGCAUGAUCCCGGCGUUCUGGGGUCGAGCCCCGCAUCAG